rnacentral:rRNA from 1 species
UGAAUACGAGAUGCUACGGCGUCGAAGCAGUCUAUGUCAGACUUCCAAGAAAAGCUUGCACUGUCAAAAACAAAUAAUGCCUGUACCAUAACCGACACAGGUGGGUAGGUAGAGUAUACUAAGGGGCGCGAGAUAACUCUCUCUAAGGAACUCGGCAAAAUGACUCCGUAACUUCGGGAGAAGGAGUGCCUUAUUUUUAAGGUUGCAAUAACAAGAUCCAAGCAACUGUUUACCAAAAACACAGGUCUCCGCGAAGUCGUAAGACGAUGUAUGGGGGCUGACGCCUGCCCAGUGCCAGAAGGUUAAAGAAGUUGGUUAGCAUUCGCGAAGCUGAUAACUGAAGCCCUGGUGAACGGCGGCCGUAACUAUAACGGUCCUAAGGUAGCGAAAUUCCUUGUCGGGUAAGUUCCGACCCGCACGAAAGGCGUAAUGAUUUGGAUACUGUCUCGGAGAGGGGCUCGGUGAAAUAGACUUGUCUGUGAAGAUGCGGACUACCUGCACCUGGACAGAAAGACCCUAUGAAGCUUUACUGUAACUUGUAAUUGAAAUUGGACUUUAUUUGCGCAGUAUAGGUGGGAGGCCUUGAGAAGAAUCUUGCGGGAUUCUUGGAGCCAUCAGUGAGAUACCACUCUUGUAAUGUUAGAUUUCUAACUUUGUAUCAUUCUCUGGUCAAAGAACAGUUUCAGGCGGGCAGUUUGACUGGGGCGGUCGCCUCCCAAACGGUAACGGAGGCGCACAAAGGUUUCCUCUGAACGGGUAGAAAUCGUAUCUAGAGUGUAAAGGCAUAAGGAAGCUUGACUGUGAGACCUACAAGUCGAGCAGGGACGAAAGUCGGUCUUAGUGAUCUGACGGUGCUGAGUGGAAAGGCCGUCACUCAACGGAUAAAAGUUACUCUAAGGAUAACAGGCUGAUCUCCCCCAAGAGUUCACAUCGACGGGGAGGUUUGGCACCUCGAUGUCGGCUCAUCGCAUCCUGGGGCGGUAGUACGUCCCAAGGGUUGGGCUGUUCGCCCAUGAAAGCGGUACGCGAGCUGGGUUCAGAACGUCGUGAGACAGUUCGGUCCAUAUCCGGUGUAGGCGUUAGAAUAUUGAGAGGAGCCUUCUCUAGUACGAGAGGACCGAGAAGGACAUACCUCUGGUGUACCAGUUAUCGUGCCAACGGUAAACGCUGGGUAGCUAUGUAUGGAGUGGAUAACCGCUGAAAGCAUCUAAGUGGGAAGCCCACCUCAAGAUAAGUAUUCUCACAGGGUUAACCUGGUAAGUGCGCUGGAAGACGACCAGCUUGAUAGGCGGCACGUGUACAGGCAGAGAUGUCUUUAGCGAAGCCGUACUAAUGCACGAGGGCUUAAUCUA